GCCUUCUUCUCAGUAAGCUUUAUUCGUAUAUUUAUUUAUGUACUUAUAAACCCAGGGUCACGUAAACAUUUCUCAGGCCCAAAGGGGAGGGGCCAUGAGUGGGAAAAUCUUAGAAAUGCCGGGUGUGGACAAUGGUCUUCAAAACUUAGGAAGCUAGGAACGGAAUCCUGGACUGAUGACAUGACCCCAAGGCCUCCCAACUCCAGGCUCUGAGCCCAAAAGGUGGCCUUCAGUUAAGCCAUCCAACGGCUCUGCGGGCCAUGGGUGACAGGAAGAAAUGCCAGCACCCAAGGUCAUAGUCUGCAGUAGCGGGGACCCCCUGGGCUUUUCGAUUUCCCAGGUCGGUGAUGGGCGACAAGGAGCAGCGAGGCGGUGCCAUCGGAGCCCUGCGGCUGUGUCUGUCUGUAAGAGGAAGGAGAGGAUGCAGAACCAAAGGCCAGAGCCCAGCUUGGGUCACACAGUGGCCCUGCGACCCACGGGACUAGACGCACCCCGGAAAAUGACCGGCUCCCCACACUGCCCCCCACCACCACUGAGGAAGAGCCUGCACGCCGCGGGUAUCCCCGGCAGGGUCCCAGCUCGGAAGGUGGGGUGGGUCACACCUGACACGUCCCCAGGUAACUUGCUGUGCGACCCGUGGUGGCCUCGCACGAGUGGCCCAGGCCCCUGGAGUCCUCGCGCCCGGGCCGGGGUCCCCACCCGUGCUCGCACAGCACCGCUCCGCCCGGCUCGCACAGCGCCAGACACCCUACCCUCCCAAGCCGGGAGUGUCCUCGUCCCCAGCGAUCGCCAGUUGACAAUGGCAGGGUCAGGACCAGCAGCAGGUCCAGGUCCGUCCGCCUAGACCGCGCCAGAGACCUCAGGCCCAGCCACUGCAAGAUCGCUUCAUGUAACCCUCAGACCUGGAAAAGUCUGGAAAAAUCAUUUCUGGCAAGGGAAUCGACGAAGCGACCAAAAGUACUGUGCCCCGUGUGAGGCUCGAACUCACGACCUUCAGAUUAUGAGACUGACGCGCUGCCUACUGCGCUAACGAGGCACCUGGUCGUCGCUUCCGGCCUGAUUCUGAAGACUCUGCUGGAAAUGGCCAGCGCGCAUGCUCAGAGACUUGAGUUUGGUGUCGCUGUGUUCCCAUUCCAGCGACCUGCGGACCUCCGCCUGUCCCUCUGCCCAUCGGCGAACACAACGGGCACCUACAGUGUUCCCGGCCUCGUUCCUGAUGCUGGCGUCUCAGGGACACUCAGCCUGGAGCCGCUGCGCGGAAGGAGCCCCGGGUCGUGUUUGCAAGCAUGAGCGGCCGUGUGCACGCCCUGCUCUGCGCCCCACCCCGACCCCACCCCAGCCCCCCAGGGCAGCUGCCACAAGGUCCCCAGGAGCUCUGAGCGGC
rnacentral:tRNA from 1 species